rnacentral:rRNA from 1 species
GACGAACGCUGGCGGCGUGCUUAACACAUGCAAGUCGAGCGGUAAGGCCCUUUCGGGGGUACACGAGCGGCGAACGGGUGAGUAACACGUGGGCGACCUACCCUCAGCUUCGGGAUAAGCCUGGGAAACUGGGUCUAAUACCGGAUAUGACCUUCCCUCGCAUGGGGGGUUGGUGGAAAGUUUUUUCGGCUGGGGAUGGGCCCGCGGCCUAUCAGCUUGUUGGUGGGGUGAUGGCCUACCAAGGCGACGACGGGGUAGCCGGCCUGAGAGGGCGACCGGCCACACUGGGACUGAGAUACGGCCCAGACUCCUACGGGAGGCAGCAGUGGGGAAUAUUGCGCAAUGGGCGAAGCCUGACGCAGCGACGCCGCGUGGGGGAUGACGGCC